UGAGUUUGAGGUUACAUUGGAGUCUCUUACUAGUCCAUUUCUAAUCCUUUUUAGCCAGUUUCCUUCUAUCCCAUUGAAGCAGUUGUACCAAUUGCAACAGUCUUAAGGCCAUUAGUUGGAGUGCUAAGUGCUGCUUUGCCUAUCUAUUCUGCGACUUUUUUCUUACAUCCAGUGCUACAUCUAGAGGUCCAGUCCCUGGGUCAUUUGAUAUCUCUAGUCUGAGUUCCGUUCAACAAGCCAGUUCUGUUAGAUCGCUUACAGUCCCCGUAGUGUCCAGUAGCUGUCUCUUUUUCUUACCGGCAAGCGGGCUUAGAAAAAAAAGUUAAGAUAUCUCCAUCCGGUGGGAGUUGCUAUCCAUAUAGUUCAAUGGCAGUUCUACUUGCAGCCAUUGAGAGUUCUCUUGCAUCCGCUUUCCAUCCAGCAGAGUAAGGGGCAAAAGGAUCUGACGCAAGUUGGAGCUAAGGAUCGACAGAAAGCUAGGGUUUUUCGUGCUUCUCCCUUCUUAUCCGGAACUAAGGAGUUAACGAUAUAUCGCUUAAGGAGAUAUCUAGCCAAGCGAUUCACCUGAUCCAGACACGCCAAUAGGCGGCUUUGAAGAUAGUAAGUAAGAGUAGUGGCAUUCUCAUCAAAAGGAUAAGUAAGUUCGCAAUCCAGUGAUAAAGUGAAAAAAGGUGCUUUUUUCUGCGCAUAUUCCCAGGUUAGGAUAUGCAUAUAAUAUUAUAGGUUACAGUUUCUAAUCUAUAGGAUUUAUUCUGGCUUCUGUAGGACUACUAACUAGACUAUUCUCUCCGCUAAAAACGUAGGAAGGAAAUCUGUGCGAAGGCUUUCUGCGGGUAAGGCAAAGGUAGAUGUAAGAUUGCGAUAUGUGUCUUACCUUGGUAAUUCGUUUAUUUACCUAGUGGGUCUAACUAUAUUUUAUGUCUAAGGAAGAGGAGAAUCGCCCUAAAGAGCCUGCCUAUAUCGGAGGAGUCUCCGGUACUGUACUGAUUUCCUUGUUUUCGCUUCUGGGCUUAACCAAGCCAGGGCGAAUAAGGGAUGCAUUCAUUUUCAUUUGAGUGUAAACCCUUAAGAGCCGUCGGCCAUAAGACUUUGGGCAUCAAGAGUGCUCCAGUAGCAUUGGUGGAACAAUCGAAAGACCAUUUUGAGGAUUGGGAAAAACCUACAUAUGGAAGAUGAUAUGCCACAAGAAUCCCCCAAGAUGACAACAGAUUAAGACCUAGGAUCAAUGCCCCCAAAACAGUCCCUGAACUACCGCCUUCCAAUUUCCAUUCCCGGAUCACAGAAGGCAGACUAAUCAACCAGGUCUGGUCUUACCUAGGAAGGACACCUCUCCUAUUUAAGUCAUACCUCGUCCCAGAAGUAGAGAGGAGUCCAUCUCAAUCAAAAGGAAAAGAAAGAUGUACUACCUUCACUCUUUCAGAACCUCUCCUACUAAGUCGUACACCUUUUGCCCAAAUCCCUUCGCUAUUGAGCAGAUAGAGUCAGACUUUCUUCGUAAGGAAUCGGACUAAGAGGAUUUCAAUUCCAUUUCCAUAGAGCAGAUCCAGUAAGACAGUAGACUUUCGUGCUCUUUCUAUCUAUUUACAAUGACUGAGAGUUGCUCAAGCGAGCAGGCACGUAUAGGGCAGCGCCUUCUACCUUCCGAAAAUAGGAAAAGACCAGUCCUUCUACAUCUCAAGGGCAUGCCCUAUAGACCUAGUCUAUCGGCUAUAGCUGCAGCUAUGACUGACCAAUAAAUUGAAAGCUCUAACUAAAAAAGAAGUCCCAGGGCUUAUUCCCUUUUCAAGGUCUUGUAGCCAGACUGAUCCAGUCAUCUAUAUCUCGUUUCGCCCCUUUGGCUCUCUUGCUUAGUAUCCCAGUCCAAGAUCUUAUUGAAAGAGCCACAGCUUCUUCAAAUUCAAUAGCAAAGGAUAUUCACCCGGCUACUCAAUCUUCUCUCUUUCACUCCUUCAAGGCCUCUUUCAAGCUAAGAAGACUCCUUUCAAGGUUAUCCUUAUUCUUAUCUGCAGAUCGGAGUCGUUCACUUCUCUGUCGAAAGAGCGUAUUCUUUUAUUGCAGCUAAUUACAAAUCUCAAUCAGUCUUGUCUGUACACCAAUCCCAAUGGCUAAUUCGGCUCUUAAGCCUGGAACUCAAUCAAAAAUAAAUUAUCUUUUGUCGAAAUAAACUCUCCCCCGCCCAAUCUUUACAUUAGUGGGCGGACACCGCCCCAAUCCUAAAAAAGGAACGAAUCUUUCAAUUGCAGUCGACCACAAGAUAAAGAAAGCGAUUGAAGCAAGCAUGAGUAGUAUCCCCCCUCCUUCGUUGUGGGUCCCCCUCCCUUAAUUAUUUAUAAUAUCUCUUUGGCUAUCAACUCAAAGAGUAAAGCGGUGGUAAGAUAUGGAGGUUUUUAUCCCUCUCAGAGCUUUGAACUGACCGGCCUAUGAUAAUUUAGGGGGAAUUUAUAUAAAUAGCUGGUGCGCUUGUUUGCGUCCAAUCCGGAUGUGAAGUCCUUACUUGCAGCCCUAGGUAAGGCGCGGGUUUAGUCUUCCAAGUAAAGGUUACGAAGUAAAUGGACUUAUUUUGAUGGACUUACUUUCACUAUGCAUUCAUUCGUGCACUAUCUAAGAUCCGAUUCUCUAGCAACCUAUUUUUAAUAUUGAUUCAUCUUCCCAUCCUCUUCUUUCUAUCUCCGUAGUCAGUCUGGCUGCAUACUCCUUCUGGAUGAGUUCUGUGGCAAGCUGACGGAUUCUGCAACUUCUUAUCUUCCGAAAUAAGUUUUUAUUCUAAGAGCGGAUAUUUCAAAGAGAGCACCGGAUCUUGCAUGAAUGUGCACAUCCGAUUUGUUCACAUCUUGAAUAUGACCCUUUGCCAUAGACCAAUUGCCAGAGAUUGGCUAGCAUGAGGACAGAAAGGCUAAAAAGAGGUGGGACCUAGUUGAUUCUGCACUCCCUACCUUAAGAGGGGCAUAGCGUUUGCUAAAGGAAUGCUUACCGAGAAGCUUCCCUGGUCACGAGCGAAGGGGGAAAAGAAAUAGACUAUAAAGCACAGACAGCAUACGAGAUAAAGAUCUGAUUUGCUGGAACUGGAAAGAAAGAUCCUCUUUGCGGAAUCAAAGAGAAGAGCGGGGAAGACGGGAUAUUAGUUAAAAGAAAGAAGGUAUGAAAUCCUUAGCUCCACCACGUGUUAAGCAUACGAGAAUUGAGACUGCUACCAGCCCCGGGAAUUCCAUAGCUGUUAGCUCUGACCCCAUCCAAGGUACCUUGAAAUGACUAGGAGCUCGCAUGAACCCAUAUCAACCCAUCUUCAAUCAAGAGAACCGGAACUAGCUGGAAGAGAAAAAGAAGUAGAUUAGGACUGCCUUUUAGCAUUAGCUGGCAGGGAACUCAGAGAGAGUUCGGCAGGAAGGGAAGGAAAUCUUCAACUUAAACUUAAACUCGCGUAAAGGGAGAAAGAAAAGAACUGGAAAUGCAUAGGACGAUUAAAUUAUGAAUGAAAAUCGCAACUACUGGUACAAUAGAUACAUACCGGUACUACUGGCCCACUAUCGCUAGACGGAAUGACACUAGCACUCUUAGCUCUUUAGCUAUUACGCUUGGUAGUAAGGCGAGGAAUGAUAGCAAGACUUUUCUUAUUUUUUUACUGUAUAAUCCCAAUCUAUCCGGGUGAUCGAAGGCGUAUCGCGAUCGACAAGAAAUGGUUCGGCACAAUGUGGAACCUGACGUUGCUGAUAUGAUAUAAGAGUGAUAACCGGAGAAGAUGGUCGUCAACGGCGAAGACCGUCAUAUUGUAUUGUUAAGAGUCACAAGCUCGGCGUACUUCACCUUCAUAGCGAGGGCUAGGAUGCUGAAGCCAUUGUUACGGAGCCGGAGCAUGGCAUCUCUGAGCAUCAGGCGCAUUAUAGCAGGCUGCACCGAGCCGGAAGUCUUGAUAUGUUGACCAGAAUGAUGAUCUGGAUGGAACGGGAACGAGAGCGAGGUCAUCCUCUCCACGUCGCAAUAAAACGGAGAGAGCGGAGAGAUGAAACCUUGAAGGCCAUGAAUAACCACCAUGCCGUUGUUGAAGAGAUCAGGUUGCGUGAUCUCCACCCCUCCCGAUAAAGACCUUAGCACUAGCAGUUGUGCUGGUCUUUCUAUUGACCGAAUCAGAGGUGAGGGGGAUGCAACGGCCUGGACUCAAGGUCUCGAUCUUGGUACCUCUCCGCAUAUAAUCAAUUGUGAAGAGACCUGGAAGUGCUCACGAAGGAGGUUAGAGAAAGAGCAAGAGAAGCAGGUGCAGAGGGAGGCAUCUGAUGGAGCGAAGAUCGUAGAAGGACCGGUCCAGGCAGAGGCAGCGGUGGCCGCGGAGUCAGAGAGUGAAGGAGCCGCCGUGGCUAGCUCGUGGAAGCCGAGAUGGGACAAGAUCGGGGGGAGGAGUGCUGUGUGAGAGAAGAACGAGUGUUCUUGGAGUUCUUGUGGAGUCGACGGUGUAGUUGCCGUUGUGGAAGGUGUGAAGCUUGCUUCCAGUCCUUCAAUGGCGGUCACCCUCGGGUUGCAGAGCAUUGCGAGGAUCGAGAUUGCGAAGAGCACUGUGAAUCGCAAAGAGAUGUCCAUGGCGGAGAGAGAAGAGUGAGAAGGCCAGUAAGAGAAGGGUUUCCUUCAGAGAGAAUGCAAAUAAAAAUGAAAGAAAUGAGGAGGUAGAGGUAUUUAUGCGCGAAACUAUGAGUGAGGGAGCGGUUUAGAGGCGGUGGUUAGAGAACGAUCACGUGCGCGUGAAAGGAGCGUGGAACAGGAAUCGGCGAAGCAUGACUGUUGCGUGGUUGUUAGAACGUUCUUGAAUCUUAUUUCAGUUAUAUUUGGCGGGAAAUGUGAAACGGAACGGACAAGUUUGUAAUUUUCUUAAUUCAAUCGGAAAAUUGUUACAAGGCUCGGGAGGGCCAGGAUUCAUCACUCCAACUUAUGAUGAGUCAGGCCGCAAUGCUGCGAAUUUCCGAGCCCUGUUAUACCGGGUAAAGAAAGCCUCAACCAGAACUAAAUGUGCCACGGGAAACAGAAUUCUUGGCCCUCUCCUAUUCUAUAUAAAGGUCCAUCAUAGGGCCCAGAAAGACAGCCGAUAAGUCAAUUUUCCUAAGGUGACAAAGAGUGGGCGGGCCCAACAUAGAACCCCAAGCAAUCUAACAAGCACACGCAGUCACAUAAGACAGGGUUUUCCCACGGUAAAUUUCUAAGCUAUCUAGUAUGGUAGGACUUUCUUUGAUGGUUCAUGUAGGCUUGGGUCUUUCAUUCGGGCCCUAUUGGGUGGGGCACCUUGUGGGCCAGCCAAUGCGUAUAAGCUUGGGCUUUCUUAACGUGGCUCAUUUGACGACUCAGUACAUGGAUGUCACGAGUCUAUUGGCAUAGAAUAUCGAAUCUUUUCCACGUAAGCUGGUUGUACAAAGUUUGUUUGUUCAUACAGGCAGUGUGAUUGGGGGAGAUUUUGUUUGCUCCGCAAGGUAGCCAGAGCCAGCCAGUUUUUCAUUAAACAGGCAUGAUAGUCUUCAACUGCAGAAAAGUAGUGCGGAGAACUAGCCAGAAUUGUGCCUGCCAUCAAAUUAGGUGACGCAUGGCGGGAUUCCUCUACCACUCUAUAAAUGGAGGCUCAAUAAGUGUCUUCUUCAUCAAAUUCAUUCAAAUCAAAGAAAUUUCGUAAUAGCAUAGCUAUGGGCAACUUCCAAAAGGCUUUCCGCAAUUGAUGCGGAAAUGCGUCAAAUACAACAGGCGAUUCAAAACCGCCGGAGAACUCUCAAUUUAUUUUUAAGGAAUAUUCGAGCGGUAGAUUCAGCUGCGGCAGACGAACGCAUUCGCACUUCCGCAGCAAACAUAAGGAAUUUGGAGCUAAGGCUGGAAGUGCUGCGGAAGGAGCAGCUCGAACUCAUUUCGGAGGCUGUGUCCCGGCUGUCACACUCGGUGACAGGCAGGGAAGACUAGAAAAAAGAAGUAGUUCCUUAUAUUUCGUGAUUUUUCAGUCCCGAUGGGAAUAAGCAGCUGAUGAGAGAAUCGCGCGAAGGUAGCGCCCGGAAACUUAGAAAGAAAAUGUCUGUCUAUAUCAUCUAAAAAGAAGUUCAAUAAAAUGGAAUGAAGAAAUCGGACGGGAGGUAUUCCUCCCUUUAAUAUGUUUUUCCCAGCCUUGUUCAGUACCGGCGAAUGCAGAAAGUUUUCGAUUAGAUUUAGAAUGAAUUGAUCCUCGAUAAGAGGCUUGAUUUUGUCCAGAAGCCGCUUUAUACAAAGAAUAUGACUAUAAAUAGAGAAAUCUAUAACAAAUAGGAGUCUCAGAUUGGACCAACUUCUUAUCUCAGCCACAAAAAGCGUAUCGGUCUGGCCGGGGAAUGACUGCUCAAGAAAGACAUUUUGAGUAAAAACGUACUGAUUUAGUAGAUUAGCGAGUGAGAUCAGAAUGAGCUCAUCUUCCAGUUUUAAAGUAAGAUAUAAAUGCCAAUAAUCGUCCUCGAGACUCUUGAACCUAUAAAAAGUAAGUUGGUCCAUCUUAAUAGGAAUGCGCUCUAGCUCUCUUAUGACCCAAAAAAAAGAAAGUUGAUACUUGCCAGUCAAAAUUUCCCGUUCCAGUCUAACGAUAUUUACCCUUUUGUAAAUAUAUAUAUAUUUAUCUAACAUUUCCCCCAUUUCGAGGAUAAGAUACUGGCGUAAAGGGAAAGUCGACAUGUCGUCCUAAAAAUGUAAGAUAAAUUCAAAUGUUAUAUAUAAGUGACCGAGAUGCAAGGGAAAAACUCUUGUUUUACAUUUCCACCUAUUUGUUCGUUUACCAGGUUAAGAACGAAAUCAUAAAUAAGCUCUACCAAGGAUUGCCAAGCAUUGGGUACUGACUUUCCUAACGAAGCUGGGAAAGCAGCAGUAAUUCUUUGGAAAAGCCCGGUUCUCUUUGUAUUCGAGCUUUCAUUCCUAAAUCCACUGUUUCGUUCCUUCAUAUACCUCCCCACCAAUAGAUAGAGACAAAUGGGAAUAACCGAACCACGUCUACAAAAUGCCAGUACCAUGCAGCUGCUUCAAAGCCAACGUGAUGCUCCUUGGUCAGAUGACCAAGAUAUUGGCGAAUACCACAUACGAUCAAGAAAAGAGUACCUAUAAUCACAUGAAAACCAUGAAAGCCAGUUGCUAAGAAAAAGGUAGAACCAUAAAUACUAUCCGAAAUAGUGAAGGGUGCUUGAUAAUAUUCCAUUCCUUGAAAGCCAGUGAAUACUAGAGCCAGUGAAACGGUUGCUACUAAAGCGUAAACUGCUCGUUUUUCCUUCCCCGCGAGUAUAGCGUGAUGAGCCCAAGUUACGGCUGCUCCGGAUGAAAGGAGAAUAGGGGUAUUAAGAAAUGGGAUUUCCCGAGGAUCUAAAACCCCAAUCCCUUUUGGGGGCCAAAUACCCCCGAUCUCUACCGUAGGUGCCAAAGAAGAAUGAGAAGAAGCCCGAAAAAAAGCAAAAAGGAACAUAACCUCCGAUACGAUGAACGGAAUAGAACCAUAUCGAGGUCCUAAUUGUACUACUUUGGUAUGAUGUCCUUCCAACGUGGAUUCACGUAGAACAUCGCGCCACCAUACAAACAUGGUAUAUAGGAUAAAUAUUAGGCCCAAACUGAGAAGUGUUGCACCCCCUUGAAAUGAGUGCAUGUACAUCACACCUCCUACGGUGGUUGCCAAAGCUCCGAGUGAACCCGAAAUAGGCCAUGGACUUGGAUCUACCAAAUGAUAAGAAUGCCUCUGAGAUUCAAUCAUAAACCACUUUGCCUCGGUUGUAUGUAAACCCCCCCUUCACCCCCACCCCCUAAAGUGGUAAAGAAGGGCUCUUUUGGGUCUUCUUAUAUUUCUAUCUGACAGGACAAAGAAAUAGGAAGGGAUGGUUCUUUCAUUGCAUUGAUAGAAGUCUAACUAGAAAAAGAUCUCUCUAUAACUUUGAGAAGAGAAUCGUUGGUUUGACCGACGAACUACGUGGGAAAAUGGACCUUCUUUCCUUUCUUUGAUUUUCAGCAAGCAUUUUUUGAAAGUAACAAUUCUAUUUAUGAAGUUUGGUUUAGGAAAACUUGCUAGUCGCGGAUUAGUGCGUUCUGCGCCGCCGGCGGCGCAGGUUGAUCUCUCUGGUUGAGGCUGCAUUCUUUUAUUCAACUUUACACGUGGGAAGGGCUUACUCUCCUAGUGGCUCGGCUUGGUCUCGCUCCCUUCCUGCACUAUUCCUCCCCACUAAAAAGUGCGAUUGAUAAUCUCGAUACGAUAACCUUUCUUUCUGAACGCAAGACUACCCCUCUUCCCGAAAGCUUCGCGGGGCGAUUUGAAAUGGCCAUACUGUACUGGUUGGACGAUGGCACAGUACGCAGGACCCUCGUAUGAAACCCCACCGAGCUUCCUUGCACUAUGUGGAACGGACUAUUCUCGGAUUGGACACGCCUAUAGCUAAAGGAACGUACAGCGAGCCGUAGCGGGAGGGAGGCCAAUGUCCCGUCAGAUACCACGGCCCACGUUCAAGCUCUAAACCGUCAAGAAGAAAGGAGACUUUUAGGGGAGGCACAUAUGAGAAGUGAAACGUGGCUUUCAAAGUAAUAAGAUAGCUGUCUGCUAUGCGUUUAAGGGCAUAAGGUACGAAGUUAGUCGUACGAAGUCCCUCUCCUGUAACUCGAGUGACAACCAAAUCUUGACUAGCAUAUCCGCCUCUCACUUCGCUCCUCUCCUGUAACUCUCGCGGCUUAACGCUCGAGUGAGUACACCCCUGUAGCUUCGCAACAGAUCAAUAUGAAUGAGGAUUCCUUGUUCCUGUUGAGAAUCUUGGAUCAUGGCCUAAACCUCUCUUUGCUUGUUGAUGAAGAAAUCUAUCAAGAAGGAUGAAUAGGACUAGCCUUUAUUUUAUUUGCUUUCCCCUUACCCAUAAACAUACAACUCAAAGCAAGUGAGCAGCUUGGGAUAGAAAGAUUCCAAGAGCUUAGUGAAAAGGAUAGUAGUCACUAGAUAUAAGCUAUAGGAUGGACUUGGGGAUAGCCUAUAUAUAAGGUCAGGUCGGUUCCCGCACAAUCCCCUGAUGGAGGGGGUAUACCGGUGCACCAACCGAGGUCAAAUUUCUUCUACCCAAUCAGCAUGAAAAGGCAUUGAAGGGUGCAAGACUUCUAUCUUUCUGCCACUUCGUCUUGUACCUGUCCUUUUGGGACAGCCUCUCUCUUCAUCUUUUUCAUGGCCUUUCCUUUCAUCUUUCAAAACUCUCAUACCAUUAUGCGCCUUCCCCUUACUAGAUCCAAUAGGGCCACAAAGAAUGCUUUAAGAACAAUGCACGAACAAAACGAGUAUACGAAAGUUGACGGCAUGAACACCGAAUGAACAACUUUCUUCUUUUUAUCUAUAUAUGCUAUUUCUUUUUUUAUCUUUCAAAGGGUGCUCAAGGAGUCUAUAAAGGCAUAAAUCGAUAUAUGAAGCUGGGAACUUACCCAUCAUAACAAAUAGCCUUAGGUUGUUUAUUUCCUUAGAGUUUCUGUUUUUGUUCGGUUAGGCUAUCUAUAUUUACCUGGGAGAGGCAACUCUUCUAAUAGACACCGAUGCUAUUUUUCUACUACUAUUAUAUACUAUUAGAAUUAGAUCGACGAAAUUCAUUGUUUGUUUACACGUGGCUAGGUCGCUAAUUGAGAAGAACUACCGCUGAGAUGUCUCAGAGAGAGAGAGGCCGUCUUUCGUGUUUAAGAUGCCUUAAGUGAAGCGCAAAGCGAAAAAGGAAGUGGGAAAGCACCUUGUUUUGUUUGCCCUAUCACAGAGCCAUCGGUAUCCCUGAUAGAAAGAAUCAAACGUCGAAUGGUCCUGGGUACGAUCAUAGCUUCUGAACGUUCCCAUAGUAUAGUCUAGUUUGAGCACCUUUCGCUCAUCCCCCCCUUGAAAGCUGAACCUCGGGCCAUCAUAUAGCCCUUUGUCCUUUUCAGAAGUCUGUUUUCCGCUUUCACUAACACUAAGGAUACUUACCUGACAACAUAUAUUGCGGGAAAGGCACUCCAGCGGCAGCAGAUGGUUCAGCUUCAGUAUUAACUGAUCGGCCAAUAUUGAUGACACCCCAAGGGUGGGCAGGAAAUCCCCUAGUCAUUUAUCUUGAUUCACCUGCCCAACUCUACAAAUUGGAAGAGUCAGACUGGGAAUAAGGGAAGAGGAUUCUUCAUAAUCUAUUUAGUAAUGUCCAAAAACCCGUUAACGGGUUAAGGUCAGUAGUCUUUACUCGGAGUAGUCACUAGGAGAAAGAAAUAGCUAUGAACUCAUCUACUACACUGGGUAUAUGGGAACUAGGACUGAAAUGAUAUAUGAUAUGGAUGGCUUUCGAGCCUGGAAAAGACCUGUCUUUUUCACAAGAUUGGUGAAACGCGGUGAAACCCUCCCCGUUGUAGAGGAAAAGAAAUUUGAUGAGUCCCUAAAAGGUUUUCUGAAAGUGGAUUUAUCCCGUACUAAACUACUUUCGUUCCUUAGCACAAGUACUAAAUGAUAUAAACCUUCUUGAAAACUCUAUUGCUUCAAAGAAAAAGAUUGGACAAGCAUAUAGAAAGGAAAGAACCAAGGCCGAAGAAUGGUGCAUUAGAUCCGGUAGCUACCGAGCGUAGAGUUAGGGCAGCUCAUGAACCGGCCGAAGGAGGGGUUGACUCUGCAGCAGGGCUUUGAGGAAUGGGAGCGGCUUUGGAAUCAGCUUAAGUAGAAGUGGGUCACCCCAUAUAAGUAAUAUGGGCAAGUACGCGAGAUGUAACCAAUAUCUUUCUAUUUUUCAACUCCAUCUUUCAGCUAAAUUGAAGCCCCUUAGUGCAAUCGAUUUCAGUAUGCCGGUUUAAUUUUAAGAUAAAGAGGGAGGCCCAAUGAGCACUACAGUAGUGCCCUAUUUAUAUGGGGUCGUAGAGCCGGUCAACGGGAGCUAAGAUCCUAUUCUUGCAUUCAUCUUAACUGCAGAUUUCUACUUCUUCUUACCGCAGAGGAGAACAAAUAAGAUAGAAGCCCAUAUUUAAACUAUACUUCCUAACUAGAGUAGUAAGAAGUCUUUUCAGAAGCAGUAGACUGGCUGAAUUGAUCGAACUUCUUGCUCUCAGCCUUGAGCUCAACCGGGAUGCUUGUUUUAUGAGGAUUAUUCUUUCGCGUAAGUCAGGGGAGUGUUGAGCCAGAGUAGAGAUGACCUUUUCAGCAUCGCUGUGAGAGUGAAUAAUUUCGCAUGCUGAAAUAGUUUAUUAGUGCUUCCCUUUGUUCUUGCAAGAGAUCAAGACUGGUAGGCAGGCUAAGGCCAGAGAUUCAAUGCCCGCCUCUCCUUAUCAGUCGAGUUACUUCAUAACCUCUUCUUCUUAUUCUAGUCGUCGUUACUCUCUCUAUAUUAGGUGUCGGCAUCACACAUAUCAUAUAGAUUUUGUGUAGUGAGUGAGAUUUCCCAAACUUAGGAAAGGAGUUAAUAAAAGAAGAGAGGCCAUCUGACUUGGUUAAGUCAUGUUAGUUGUGGUUAACAGCAGAACCAAAGCAGAAUGACUGACCCUGCAUCCAAAGAGGAAGGUGCAUACCUUUUUAUAUCCCAUAGCUUGCUGAGACCGGGUCCCCUCAGAUAUGACGAUAGGUACGUUCCUGCUGUUAAUAAUCUAGGUUUCCCUAUGGGCAUAUCCCUUAAAAUAGACAAUCACAAAAAAGCAAUAAAAUAGCUCGACUGUAAUCCGAGUAACGAAGACUGAUAAGCAUAAGGAUUGAGAAUUCAUGGGAUUGAUCAGGUCUCAAGACUGGGACGUCGCUUUUAGCGCACUUGACUUAUCUUAUUGCGUAUACAAUAAUAACUGAGCAUACUUUGCUAAUGGGCAGGUAAAUUCUGAGAAUCGUAGCGGCUACUUAUAUAACUAUUAUGUGAUUACUCCAUGUGUAACGGCCAAGCAAGAGGUGUUGUAUUCUAUUUAAUUAAACAGAUGAUUUCUUACAUUGAUAUACACAUCCUUCACCCAAUCCGCUCAAAGUAUUUUCAACUCUUUCAUGGUAUCAGAGCACUAGCUCUUGGGAAACGUUCACUUGGUUCGUGUGAAGUGUAGUCUUCAUACCUUGCUUGUUACGUCUUUUGCUAAAGCCCUUACUAAACCACCUGGAACUAGUCUGGUUUGAUAUAAGCCUUGCUACCACGGAAAGCAUAGUAAGAAGAGCUGAAAAGAUAGCCAUCUUACUCUCGGACCUUGUUUUAAUAAAGGAAGAACUUAAGCCUUUCUUAAUAAGAAAGAAAACCCUAAGAUGAGCUAACUUGGCUUAGUGCAGGAAAUGGCAAGAAGGGUAGGGCAUACCUUUUUUAGGAUUUCUACCCCCUUUCGAACUGAACUACCACGACUCUCGCUAACUGCAUCGGAUUCUGUGGAUAAAAGAAGACUAGCUGAAAGAGCUGAUUUGAUUACGAACCGCUACGCUUUCUUAUCUUAGUGUAGUGCGCCAACUGAAGCAAGGAAUAUGAGGAUCAGAGCGCUAGCAUCCCUUGCUCUCGAUCGAUUGCUCACCACCGAACAAAAAAAAGGAAGAGAACUGGGGACAGCUUUAGGUGUAAGCAUGAAGUACGCCCGAGCAAGCUAAAUUCUUUCUAUGUAGUAAUCGUGCUAGGCUAUGCCCCUGAACUGAACCCUUUGGUAUCCAGAAAGAAAAGCAGAGGAAGUGGCUUUGAUCCUAUUUUCUAUCAAAGCAGGUUCUACGGCCCAAUCCUACUACCCGGAUGAUCGUCUUGGGUAAGAUCUUUCUAUAUCAAAAUCUCAGUUGGAUGCCUACACGCGAUCCUUUUUUGCUUCCUUAUAUCGCCUAUAUAAAAAGUAUAAACAACUUAGACUUCUAUCAUAACACGGAUCACGCUGUAUAUAGAUUGGAUGUAUGUUAGAGCUAUCUUCUUUGUACCAUCUAGAGGGCUGUGAUUUCCCGGGGGCAGGACACGAAGAAGGAGGACUGGUUGGACUCUUUCUUCGGGGCUAUAUGUUAUAUUGAAGUGGACUGGCUAUUGUAGUAUUCGAUAGAAAGCAAGAAUCAACAGCAUUUGACUCGCUUGCAAGAGCUGAUUCUCUGUAGGCCUGCGCUUAUAUCACUACCACGAAUCCCCUUCUACAUGACCUACUUGAGUGAUAUCGUACUCACCAACCGAACUAGAAUGAGCCUACGAAAAGAAAGAAAAGGGGAUGAACGAAUAAGGGCAAGAGGGAAGAGUUUUCACUCGUGCUACUUAAUUGGCAGCAGAGGAAGAGUCUGUUAAGAAUUCGAGAUCUCGGGGUCGAGUCGAGGAAGUAAGAAUAGUCGAAGUCAAAGUGGAAAGAGAACCUAAUUUGAGUAUUAGGCACAUGCACUUGCUCUGGCUUCUUAAGAAAGAUUGAGACGACAAGCGGCACGUUUGAGCGGGUAGUAGAUAAAAUAGGAACUUCUUACCAGGGGGAAGAUCUGUUGACUUAUCGACCAGGCCUCCAUGAGGCUACAGUAAGACCGGACUGAGAUGAUGAAGCCAUUUACCCCCUAGCUACCUGAAUAACAGAUAAUCAGACUAUCGGGAGGAUGGAUUGGGGCUAACAAAAAGGCUAUCGCUCAUUUAUAGCAUACCAGCCUCUUAACUUCGCUUCUCGCUCUCCUAUAACUCUAAUCAAGAUGCUUUCCACAAGGGUAUGAAAGAUUUGGAUAAAGUCUCACUCUCGAUGGCAAGGCUGGGGAAGAUCGAUCUAAGGGGUGAACCUAUUUCCGGAUUCCUUCUAGUGCUUAAGGUGCGUAGCGCUUUUCACGCUUUCUUAAUUGCGCAAGAAUGAAUAUAUUAGUAAGCCAUGGAACUGAUUGAUCACAAAUAAGAAUAUACUUCAACCGGCCAUACAUAACAUAGAAAUAACACUUGGAAAGGGUGGAAAAUUAGCUAGAGCAGCAGGUGCUGUAGCGAAACUGAUUGCAAAAGAGGGGCUACAUUAAAAUUACCUUCUGGAGAGGUCCGUUUGAUAUCCAAAAACAGCUCAGCAACAGUCAGACAAGUAGGGAAUGUUGGAGUAAACCAGAAAAGUUUGGGCAGAGCCGGAGCGGCUAGGUAAGCGUCCUGUAGUAAGAGGAGUAGUUAUGAACCCCAUCCACAUGGUGUGGUGAAGGGUAGAAAGAAAGGCUUUUUAUCUACCAAUUGGGGCUAACCGAAGUCUUGGAUUUAUCGGUAGUGGUAUCCCUGUUAUCUUCCAUUACUUAGUGAGAGCUUAUCGAAUUGAUGUAAGGCAGGGAUACCAUGUAGGAGGCCUGAUCAUACACCUUAACUCACUAGAGCGAGCGCCUUGAAACGUCGGUGACUACCCUGUCGGUAGAGUGGCUUUCUCCUAGAGUGUAUAGCUCAUUCGAAGUUCGACCUCAUGAAACAUAGAGCUGUCAAAGUCCUCUCCUUCUAGUCGUUCUUACAGUCAAGUGACUGGUCGAGCUGAGGGUAAAUUUGCUAGUUUCUUAGAAGGCUUGACUUCUGUAGUCUAAUUCCGGGGAUUCUUUCAACUCAUGUUUGUUGGAAAAGACGGAGGGGUUGUGUUACUGAAUGGCUGCAACCUUUCAUUUGUUAUUCUUUUCCUUGGCCGUUAGGAUUGAGACUACGAUCUCCGGUUAACCACGUUCCAGCUAAAAGCUAGUCGAACUAGAGCCUGCCUUACGAGGGAGAAUUCCAACUGUUAACCAAAGCGCUGAUCUCUUCUUUCCUAGUGAGUCAUAUUCCACUUUGUCUGCUAUUCAAGUCUUCCCCUUUCUUGUCGGCAUAAGGACUGCCGCUCUUAAACUCCUGGCUCUGAAAAUCUCAAAAGAGAGAGUAGCCACCCUUCCUCCAAGACUUUAAUCGGGAAUUUAUCGCCUGCUGGUUUGAUUAGGCCUUUGUGCCUGGUAUGAACUAAAAAAUCCUUUCAUCCUAAUCCGCCUUUCCCUCGUCCCUCGUAGAAGACAAAUGUGAGGUAGGCCUAAAAGACCUGCUUUCCUCCUUCCAAUCCGGGAGUGAAUCUGUCUAGUUCUAUUUUGACUAAUCCGAAUCUGUGUACUGAGUAAAAGCGGAAUAUCCUCUCUCAAUUCUUGGCAGAGGGAAGCCCCAUGACCGACCAACCGAGGCAGGGGUAGAUAGAGGGGUAGAUAGAGGAAGAGAAGAUUUAUUGAAUGCUCUCGGGCAUUGAUUGAGGUAGUCAAAAAUUAUGCUUCACUCGGAUCUUCUUUAUUGUGUCGUGCUGCCUCCUUAACAACCUCUCCUUCCUCAACUGUUUGGUACACUCCCCUGGCUACUUGUACUGAUAACGCUGGGACUAAUUGAACUCAGGCUGAUUUCUCCUCUUCUGACUGCCCUUCUUCAGGCACAACCAUACCUUCUGGCAAUGAAAUUGGAUUUAUCCCCGCUCGAUUUCUUUCUUGUAGUCAUCGCCGGACCUGAGCUCUUCCCCCUAAAUCCUUUCUAUUGCGGCUUUCGAGCUACUCGCUACUAUAGUGACAAAAGUCCAGUUGACGUAGCGUAGGCGGAAGAAGAUCGGACUAAGUUCCUUUCCCCAUUCUUGGGUGGGUUAGAAGCAUUAGAAGAUCUUCCCCAUCCCUAUUGGAAUGAAUGCUUGAAUAGUCCUUUCCCCUUUGGCCAAGCUAGUAAAGUACCUCAUUCUAUCAUUUCUUACUUGACUUUUUUGACUGUAGCGGUUACGGCUAGACUACUUUGCUCAGCCACUCCUUGCUUCAUUUUUGAAUGGAAAAGAAAGGCUAUUUUCAGUUACGGGCUUAUGGAUCUAGUGGAUCGUCCCAGUAAAGUACUACAACUACUAACUACUUAGUUAUCGUCACUGGCUGCAGAUCUGGCUUGGCUCGAUAGGCUAUGGAAUAAACGGAUGGAGGCAGACUUGCUUGACCCUAGCCCUAGCUUCUGAAACAAGAGAACGGACCCCCCUACUAACAGGAAGGGUAAAGGGCUACUUUCACUCUACUCUUUCCAUUUCAAUGCUAGCUCGAUUGCAGCUAUCUUGCUCGGACUACUAAUGGACUAUCACAAACGAAGUGAGGGAUUGGACGACGGACGGGACAACUAGCUAAUUAGGGGGACGGAAGGACAGAGAGAACUCUUCAACGCCUUAAAUUACAAAGAUAAUAAUAGAAAUCGUUCAGUACGCUAAUCUUGACUCUUUCCAUUUAUUUUCGAUUGAGAAAGCAAGGCCCCAUUGAGCUUAGCCUAGAGCAGAUCGAAAUGGUCUCGCGAAGCCGGGAACCCCUAGCCGAAGAGACUUCCCUUUCCUGGGGGAUUGGUCUCCCUCUCUUAGUAGGAGGUUUACUAUGUCCACAACAAUUUGUGUAAUAUAAAUUCAAGGCUCGUCGAGACCUCGACGUUUUGGAUUUCUUCCUAGGUGCAGGCCUGUCCUUCUUCUUAUUGUAGUUGAUUGAAUAAGGCUUCCCCGCUUCUUCUUUGUUCAUUCGUAAAUCGCGUCUUUUUAAGCCAGGUCAAAACGAUUCGAUUUUUAUCUGAGUCUACGGAGAUAAAUCGCUCUUUAAGCGAAAAUCCCCGGUUUUCUAAAACCUUCUCGUGAUGAUCUCACUCCACGGAGGGAAAAGGUUUGUUAAUUCAUUCAAAAGACGGGCUUUCCUAGCUCAUAUAGUGGAAAGCGCCCUUCCCACAUCGAUCCCUCGAGGUGGAAGAAUGAUGAAACCUGCCAAGUAAUAUAGUAGUCAUGCCUUUCCCAAUCCUCUAUCGAAGGGAACCCCUCAGAGGGUGAAAGAGGUGGCUAACUUUCCUUGCCCCAGGGAGCUUCUUUGUUUAUGUAACUAAGCGGGCAGGUCUCUGGAGUGUGCUUCUAUCGCCCGAGCAAGAGAAGGGCUGCAGAUGAGCUAUCAAGUCGUGCAUUUCUCCCGAAAGUGAGGAGAAUGCCCCGGAUAUCCUCAUAGGUGUCGGGUUUACCAGGCUAAGGUAACUCUUAAAUUGUAGUUAGCGGGUUUCCCUCCUUCCAUAGCAUCUUGCUUUCCUGGGUAACUAUUCGACAGACGAAACCCCUCGGUUUUCUUCUUAUCUUAAAGUAGCUUUCCUUUCGGGUUUGACCAAGAUUCUUCCCUAGGGUGCUAGUUUGUUUAUGUCACUAAGCGUGAUAGCUUAACCGCGCUUCUAGCUCUAUCUCUAAAAGGAAUGAAUUCUUAAACCCCAGACAAGUACUGGUUUAAGUUCCGCCAUCCCCUCUCCCAGUUGCUAUGAAUCGAGAGAGCCCAGUCGCUCCUCCUGCCUAAGGGCAUAAAAAGAGGCAUAACUCGAGUGAUGCCUCUUCUAGUAGAUCCAAUCCAGACAGAUCUAGUAUACGUACAAGAAUCAGAAGGGGUCUUAUCCGUAGGUGAGGGGAUUGUGCUACUUGCUUUUCUCUUAGUUGAAUUAUGGGUCUUUCUCUUUUUCUUUCCUUUCUUGUUCCGUCCUGCGCUAAGCAAGCGAGUCUUUCAUUCCUUGCUCAAGUAAGUGAGGACAAGCCCCUUUCGUUUAUCUGGAUCUGCCUAUCCGGGGACUUCCCCAACAACCUCUUCUGGUAAACAAUAUCUUAUGUACUCAGACGGGCCGCUCUACUCCCUGUGUUCUUUCAACGUAGCAAGGAGGCCUAAGACGAAGAAACGCAGUUGCUCGAUUGAAAGGUGAGGACGCAGAACUUCCCUUUUGGCUUUCUUCCUCCCUGAACUGAAUAAGUAAGGCCCCGUUUUUUAUAAUAAAAAAAAGAAAGGGCGAAGCGCCCAUUUGAAGUGGCGAAGGCCUAUGAUAUAGUAAGAAAGAAAGUACGUUAAGGUUACGAAGUAAGGUCAGCUGGUUAAGGAAAGCUCAGGUUAUGAAAUAGCUUAGCCAUUAAUUAAGUAGUAGUGAGGCGUCGGUACGGAGCCUUCCACUGUGGACCGAUACUACGCAAAGGUAGAACACCAUAGAAACUUCGCUGACUUUAUAAUAAACAACCUUGAUUUCGCUACGCUCAAUAAGAACCCGGAAUAGCGGAAAUCGGUUCGUGUUCCGCUUCCAAACAAAGUCAGUCGUCUUUGCCCAAGUGUGAACUGCGGACGACUCUCCAGUGGUUCCAUUCCUUCUUACUUUACUUCUGGGUCAACCCAACCCGAAUGGGAAGAAGAGGGUCAGCCAAACAGCGGUCCACUUUGUACAUUUGCUGAGGCAGACCAAUCGGGCAUUUUAUAAAAGGGAAGGGAACUUUUAUCACCGAAGGAGGCAGUAGAAAUGAAGGAGGCGGGAAGCUACCGCUUCUAGAAUGCAAGCUUAUCCUUGACUUUUUUUAGAGCGUACCGCUAUUGAAAAAAAGGUUUAUGGAUGGAGUGACAAAUGAUUACGGUUGCGGAAACCGGAUAAAGUCGGGAACCGUCGGUUACCUUUUGAAUCAAAGUAGCGCCGAGUACUUCGACUACAGGGGGGAGGGAAGCUUCGUAGACAGCUUCGCGUCCUCGCCGCUUCUUUCUGGCGACUAGCUUUUCAAGUGGGUGGCUUGGUAAGCAAGCUACCUUCAGCAUCGGUAAAAAUCCCUAUCAAUAAUAGGCCGGAAUGGUGGGGAAGGAGGCCCCCCUACUUCAAUGGAAAGGGGGGAAUCGCCGUUUCACAGCCGCUCCUCUACAACUAACUACCUUUCGCCCAACAUGAUCACGAACGAAGACAGAGAAUUGCGUAGAUAGAAGGACGAAACCAACCCACUUGUCCUGAUCGGAACGAUUGAAGAAAGAAAGAGAAUGGUGGCCCCUUUCGCCCAGGGGGCAUCGUCGGAGAACUAUGUCGGGGACAGGGGGUGAGAACCUUCCGUUGGUUACGCCCUUUAAGUGUUGGUUCUUUCUUAGAUAUGGAGAUAGAUCCAGAUAGAUAUAUUGAUAAAUUGAUAUUAUUGAUCUGGUUUCAAGAUCUAUGAACAAGAGAGAUCCCUAAAGAUCCAUUUGAUAAAAGAGAUGAAUAGAUAGGGCGGAGCCGGCUGAAGGAAGGGCGCUUACGCGCCCCUGCAAUCUUUCUAAAGCAAGAAGCGAGAAAGUUUACUUUGAGAAAGAAGCUCCUUAGCACAAGCACUAAGUAAGAAACCUACCUUUUGACAACCUUACUAAUAGUAAGGGGAAAGCUCAAGCAUGCGAAGAAAGCUCGAAGAGCUUCCCUUAUAUAUAUAUUAGAAAGGUUUGUAGAAAGGGGCUUCUUUUAAUACAAUACCCCAACCAUCGAG
rnacentral:lncRNA from 1 species